rnacentral:ncRNA from 1 species
CUUAUCAAGAGUGACGGAGGGUUCAGGCCCUGUGAAGUCCGGCAACCUGCCAUUUUUUUCAGAAGCGGCAAGGUGCCAAAUCCUGCGGCGAAAGCCGAGAGAUGAGG